rnacentral:rRNA from 1 species
AUUGAACGCUGGCGGCAUGCUUUACACAUGCAAGUCGAGCGGCAGCGCGGGGGCAACCCUGGCGGCGAGCGGCGGACGGGUGAGUAAUGCAUCGGAACGUAUCCUCGAGUGGGGGAUAACCCAGCGAAAGUUGGGCUAAUACCGCAUGAGCUCUGAGGAGGAAAGCGGGGGACCUGCGAGGGCCUCGCGCUGGAGGAGCGGCCGAUGUCCGAUUAGCUAGUUGGUGGGGUAAAGGCUUACCAAGGCGACGAUCGGUAGCUGGUCUGAGAGGAUGAUCAGCCACACUGGGACUGAGACACGGCCCAGACUCCUACGGGAGGCAGCAGUGGGGAAUUUUGGACAAUGGGGGCAACCCUGAUCCAGCCAUGCCGCGUGAGUGAAGAAGGCCUUCGGGUUGUAAAGCUCUUUCGGACGGAACGAAAUGGGCGGGACUAAUACUCCUGUCUGAUGACGGUACCGUAAGAAGAAGCACCGGCUAACUACGUG